rnacentral:lncRNA from 1 species
CAAAGGACCUUCAGCUGAACCCAAAAGCCUACAGCCCACAAAGGAUGGAAACCACUGACAGCUGUGGUGUGACCACAAGGUCAGUUAAGAGCCUGUGCAAGGGAAAUCAGCACAGGCUAGGUCAAUGGUUCUUUUAAAUAUAUAUAAAAAAUCAGAAUAUAUUAUAUAUAUACAUAUAAUNNNNNNNNNNUAUAUAUAUAUAUAUAUAUAUAUAUAUAUAUAUAUAUAUAUAUAUAUAUGCUGCAGGAAGAACGGCCGAAAACAUGACAGACACCAGUAUGGUCAGAUCAUGCUCUCCUUUAGCAACCAAAUAGACUGAUUCUUAUAGCAAACUUAACGGGCAGAUAGUGUCUCACACAACAUUCUUGGUCAAAAGCACUUAGACAAACAACUGCAAGAAAACAACCCCACCUGCAAGGAAACAACCCCCUUGUGAUUAGCAGCCGUGUAGGUCUUGUCCUUGAAGCCAGCUGCUGGCAACAAUAUUUUUAAUUCCUCAAUCGGGCGAUACGGGAACACGGUCAUGGGAACGCCUCGUAGUUGCCCUGGUACCUUGGUUUGACAAACUGGGGACACCAACAGAGGAUCCAAAUGGAAUCAUUUAAUUGGAGCGGCUCUAGCAAAGCAAAGAAAAAGGAGACCUAAGGUAGGUUGUUUAUUUAUUUAUUUAUUUUAUUUUCUUGUAUGAACACAUUUCUCAUCUGAUACCAGGGGGCACAGCAAAGGACCUUCAGCUGAACCCAAAAGUCUACAGCCCACAAAGGAUGGAAACCACUGACAGCUGUGGUGUGACCACAAGGCAGAAAGACACCUUAAAAAGGGACAUGCCAAGGAGACAGCAAGGAAGCAGUGCAGGAAGGAAACACCCUCAGAAGCUCUGCUGGAAGCCAAAUACACAAGCCUUUCAUACAAAAACCUCAUCAACCUGGUCAGUAUUACUCUCAUGCCAUCCUUUAUGCCAAUCAGUAGCAGCAAUGCAUUGCAAUUGAGACAGCUGGACCAGACCCCUCAAAAGAGUCUAAGAGCGUUGGGGAAAGAUCACAGGGUUGCUGUGCUCAUUCCCAAACAUCGGCCGAGGGCUGGACCCAGCACAGAUGUUCA